UGAACUCGAGGCGAUGGAGCUCGCCAUAACCGCCUUCCAGAAGGGCCGCUGACACCCGCUGAGGCUGAUAGCUCCUACCCAAGG
rnacentral:ncRNA from 2 species